UACGUAGGGAGCGAGCGUUGUUCGGAAUUACUGGGCGUAAAGAGUGUGUAGGCGGUGUUGCCAGUCUGUUGUGAAAUCCCCGAGCUUAACUCGGAACGGUCGGCUGAUACUGAUCUGCUAGAGUGCGGAAGGGGCAAUCGGAAUUCUUGGUGUAGCGGUGAAAUGCGUAGAUAUCAAGAGGAACACCUUAUGUGAAGACGGGUUGCUGGGCCGACACUGACGCUUAGUGCGCGAAAGCCAGGGGAGCAAACGGG
rnacentral:rRNA from 1 species